rnacentral:rRNA from 1 species
UGAAACAGGUUAAUAUUCCUGUACUUCUGGUUACUGCGAUGGAGGGACGGAGAAGGCUAGGCCAGCUUGGCGUUGGUUGUCCAAGUUUAAGGUGGUAGGCUGAAAUCUUAGGUAAAUCCGGGGUUUCAAGGCCGAGAGCUGAUGACGAGUCGUCUUUUAGAUGACGAAGUGGUUGAUGCCAUGCUUCCAAGAAAAGCUUCUAAGCUUCAGGUAACCAGGAACCGUACCCCAAACCGACACAGGUGGUCGGGUAGAGAAUACCAAGGCGCUUGAGAGAACUCGGGUGAAGGAACUAGGCAAAAUGGCACCGUAACUUCGGGAGAAGGUGCGCCGGCUAGGGUGAAGGAUUUACUCCGUAAGCUCUGGCUGGUCGAAGAUACCAGGCCGCUGCGACUGUUUAUUAAAAACACAGCACUCUGCAAACACGAAAGUGGACGUAUAGGGUGUGACGCCUGCCCGGUGCCGGAAGGUUAAUUGAUGGGGUUAGCGCAAGCGAAGCUCUUGAUCGAAGCCCCGGUAAACGGCGGCCGUAACAUAACGGUCCUAAGGUAGCGAAAUUCCUUGUCGGGUAAGUUCCGACCUGCACGAAUGGCGUAACGAUGGCGGCGCUGUCUCCACCCGAGACUCAGUGAAAUUGAAAUCGCUGUGAAGAUGCAGUGUAUCCGCGGCUAGACGGAAAGACCCCGUGAACCUUUACUGUAGCUUUGCACUGGACUUUGAGCCUGCUUGUGUAGGAUAGGUGGGAGGCUUUGAAGCGUGGACGCCAGUUCGCGUGGAGCCAUCCUUGAAAUACCACCCUGGCAUGCUUGAGGUUCUAACUCUGGUCCGUAAUCCGGAUCGAGGACAGUGUAUGGUGGGCAGUUUGACUGGGGCGGUCUCCUCCUAAAGAGUAACGGAGGAGUACGAAGGUGCGCUCAGACCGGUCGGAAAUCGGUCGCAGAGUAUAAAGGCAAAAGCGCGCUUGACUGCGAGACAGACACGUCGAGCAGGUACGAAAGUAGGUCUUAGUGAUCCGGUGGUUCUGUAUGGAAGGGCCAUCGCUCAACGGAUAAAAGGUACUCCGGGGAUAACAGGCUGAUACCGCCCAAGAGUUCAUAUCGACGGCGAUGUUUGGCACCUCGAUGUCGGCUCAUCACAUCCUGGGGCUGAAGCCGGUCCCAAGGGUAUGGCUGUUCGCCAUUUAAAGUGGUACGCGAGCUGGGUUUAGAACGUCGUGAGACAGUUCGGUCCCUAUCUGCCGUGGACGUUUGAGAUUUGAGAGGGGCUGCUCCUAGUACGAGAGGACCGGAGUGGACGAACCUCUGGUGUUCCGGUUGUCACGCCAGUGGCAUUGCCGGGUAGCUAUGUUCGGAAAAGAUAACCGCUGAAAGCAUCUAAGCGGGAAACUUGCCUCAAGAUGAGAUCUCACUGGGAACUUGAUUCCCCUGAAGGGCCGUCGAAGACUACGACGUUGAUAGGCUGGGUGUGUAAGCGUUGUGAGGCGUUGAGCUAACCAGUACUAAUUGCCCGUGAG